GGGGUUGUACUGGUUUCGACGGGGGUUUUGAAGGUGAGGCAGCCAUUCGCGGACUCUAACCGCGUCAACAAUGGAGAAAAUAAAUUUAAACGCUGAAGAUAAUUUAGCUUACGCUGCCUAGCGGCAGCAGUCGACGUUAAGGUCUCCACGCCUUAGCUGUUCGGCUUCAAGAAAGUGGAGCACUUCGUUUCCAAAGCUUUGAGGAAAUGGAAGAACUUAUGAAGCUACUAAAAUCAUGAGCCUGUCCUUUGGCGCAUGAGCGAGGGAAUGUUAAAAAAUGGACUAUAAUGGAAGAUACCGCAGUGAAUAGGCUUUCGGACAGGGGUUCGAUUCCCCUCAGCUCCAUAU
rnacentral:tmRNA from 1 species